UUAGUUAAAGCCAAACUUAGCGGCAUACCACUGUUAAUGGUUGAAAUGAAGGCUUCUUCUAACUAAA
rnacentral:tRNA from 1 species